GUCUACCUAGUAUAGUGGUCAGUACAGCAGUUUGUGGAUCAUUUGAAUCACUGCAAACCCAGGUUCGAUUCCUGGGGUGGACA
rfam:Trichoderma atroviride IMI 206040 TRIATcontig_24, whole genome shotgun sequence.